rnacentral:rRNA from 1 species
GACGAACGCUGGCGGCGUGCCUAAUACAUGCAAGUCGAGCGAGCUUGCCUAGAUGAAUUUGGUGCUUGCACCAAAUGAAACUAGAUACAAGCGAGCGGCGGACGGGUGAGUAACACGUGGGUAACCUGCCCAAGAGACUGGGAUAACACCUGGAAACAGAUGCUAAUACCGGAUAACAACACUAGACGCAUGUCUAGAGUUUAAAAGAUGGUUCUGCUAUCACUCUUGGAUGGACCUGCGGUGCAUUAGCUAGUUGGUAAGGUAACGGCUUACCAAGGCAAUGAUGCAUAGCCGAGUUGAGAGACUGAUCGGCCACAUUGGGACUGAGACACGGCCCAAACUCCUACGGGAGGCAGCAGUAGGGAAUCUUCCACAAUGGACGCAAGUCUGAUGGAGCAACGCCGCGUGAGUGAAGAAGGGUUUCGGCUCGUAAAGCUCUGUUGGUAGUGAAGAAAGAUAGAGGUAGUAACUGGCCUUUAUUUGACGGUAAUUACUUAGAAAGUCACGGCUAACUACGUGCCAGCAGCCGCGGUAAUACGUAGGUGGCAAGCGUUGUCCGGAUUUAUUGGGCGUAAAGCGAGUGCAGGCGGUUCAAUAAGUCUGAUGUGAAAGCCUUCGGCUCAACCGGAGAAUUGCAUCAGAAACUGUUGAACUUGAGUGCAGAAGAGGAGAGUGGAACUCCAUGUGUAGCGGUGGAAUGCGUAGAUAUAUGGAAGAACACCAGUGGCGAAAGCGGCUCUCUGGUCUGCAACUGACGCUGAGGCUCGAAAGCAUGGGUAGCGAACAGG